rnacentral:lncRNA from 1 species
CACCACAUAAAUAUACAAGCAACAACAAUAACAACCCAGUAUAAUCUCACUUAUUGGGGUCUAGGGAGGGUAGUGUAUACGCAGACCUUACCCCUACCCUGGAGUAGAGAGACUAUUUCCAAAUAGAUCCCCAUCAUCUUUCCCUCUAAGAACUUCCCACCUUGCUCUUGGGGAGACUCAAACUCACAACCUCUUAGUUGGAAGUGGAGGUUGCUUACCAUCAGAGCAACCCCUUUUGUCUAAAUAAACAUACAAACAGUGCACCAGUAAAUAUACGAUCAGUAACAUUAACCAACAAAUCAAUACAUGAAAUAAAGAUCCAGAGUAGAAAUAGACCUUAAGUAAAACAAUUUCAGAUUUGUAAUUAUAUGAAGAGACACAUACAAACGAAUACAACGUCAACAAACUCACCGGAAACUGGACUAGAAGUCAGAACCUACGAUUUUCUUUUAAAUCGAAACCUCGAACAAAAACUGACUCAUCGAAUCCUUUGACGGAGUUCGAAUACUCGACUGAUUUUCGCCGGAGUGAUAGGAGUUUAACAGUUAGUUUCGAAAAUGCUUGGCGUUAAUUUUUGGUUGAUUUUUCAUGGUUGUUGAUAGGUUUGAGAGUGGAGUUUCAGAUGAUGAAACUGGCGGUUUUCGGUGGAGAAAAUUGUUAAAGUUGUUGGAAUUUUUAGUGAUAUUAGAAGCUGAUUUUCCGGACCUCCUUGAUGUCGUUUUUUGGUGUGGGAUUUUUGAGCUGGUUUGUGAGGCUUGCUCCUCGAGGAAAAGAGGAAGUGAGUUGCGCUUUUUUGUGCCCC